UUGAACGCUGGCGGCAUGCCUUACACAUGCAAGUCGAACGGCAGCACGGGGGCAACCCUGGUGGCGAGUGGCGAACGGGUGAGUAAUACAUCGGAACGUGUCCUGUAGUGGGGGAUAGCCCGGCGAAAGCCGGAUUAAUACCGCAUACGAUCUGUGGAUGAAAGCGGGGGAUCUUCGGACCUCGCGCUACAGGGGCGGCCGAUGGCAGAUUAGCUAGUUGGUGGGGUAAAGGCCUACCAAGGCGACGAUCUGUAGCUG
rnacentral:rRNA from 1 species